CAGAUUGAACGCUGGCGGCAGGCCUAACACAUGCAAGUCUUACGGUAACAGGAAGCAGCUUGCUGCUUUGCUGACGAGUGGCGGACGGGUGAGUAAUGUCUGGGAAACUGCCCGAUGGAGGGGGAUAACUACUGGAAACGGUAGCUAAUACCGCAUAACGUCGCAAGACCAAAGAGGGGGACCUUAGGGCCUCUUGCCAUCGGAUGUGCCCAGAUGGGAUUAGCUAGUAGGUGGGGUAAUGGCUCACCUAGGCGACGAUCCCUAGCUGGUCUGAGAGGAUGACCAGCCACACUGGAACUGAGACACGGUCCAGACUCCUACGGGAGGCAGCAGUGGGGAAUAUUGCACAAUGGGCGCAAGCCUGAUGCAGCCAUGCCGCGUGUAUGAAGAAGGCCUUCGGGUUGUAAAGUACUUUCAGCGGGGAGGAAGGGAGUAAAGUUAAUACCUUUGCUCAUUGACGUUACCCGCAGAAGAAGCACCGGCUAACUCCGUGCCAGCAGCCGCGGUAAUACGGAGGGUGCACGCGUUAAUCGGAAUUACUGGCCGUAAAGCGCACGCACGCGGUUUGUUACGUCAGAUGUGAAAUCCCCCCGGGCUCCCCCUGGGAACUGCAUCUGAUACUGGCAAGCUUGAGUCUCGUAGAGGGGGGGUAGAAUUCCAGGUGUAGCGGUGAAAUGCGUAGAGAUCUGGAGGAAUACCGGUGGCGAAGGCGGCCCCCUGGACGAAGACUGACGCUCAGGUGCGAAAGCGUGGGGAGCAAACAGGAUUAGAUACCCUGGUAGUCCACGCCGUAAACGAUGUCGACUUGGAGGUUGUGCCCUUGAGGCGUGGCUUCCGGAGCUAACGCGUUAAGUCGACCGCCUGGGGAGUACGGCCGCAAGGUUAAAACUCAAAUGAAUUGACGGGGGCCCGCACAAGCGGUGGAGCAUGUGGUUUAAUUCGAUGCAACGCGAAGAACCUUACCUGGUCUUGACAUCCACGGAAGUUUUCAGAGAUGAGAAUGUGCCUUCGGGAACCGUGAGGCAGGUGCUGCAUGGCUGUCGUCAGCUCGUGUUGUGAAAUGUUGGGUUAAGUCCCGCAACGAGCGCAACCCUUAUCCUUUGUUGCCAGCGGUCCGGCCGGGAACUCAAAGGAGACUGCCAGUGAUAAACUGGAGGAAGGUGGGGAUGACGUCAAGUCAUCAUGGCCCUUACGACCAGGGCUACACACGUGCUACAAUGGCGCAUACAAAGAGAAGCGACCUCGCGAGAGCAAGCGGACCUCAUAAAGUGCGUCGUAGUCCGGAUUGGAGUCUGCAACUCGACUCCAUGAAGUCGGAAUCGCUAGUAAUCGUGGAUCAGAAUGCCACGGUGAAUACGUUCCCGGGCCUUGUACACACCGCCCGUCACACCAUGGGAGUGGGUUGCAAAAGAAGUAGGUAGCUUAACCUUCGGGAGGGCGCUUACCACUUUGUGAUUCAU
rnacentral:rRNA from 1 species